GAUGAACGCUGGCGGCGUGCCUAAUACAUGCCAGUCGAGCGAACAGACGAGGAGCUUGCUCCUCUGACGUUAGCGGCGGACGGGUGAGUAACACGUGGAUAACCUACCUAUAAGACUGGGAUAACUUCGGGAAACCGGAGCUAAUACCGGAUAAUAUAUUGAACCGCAUGGUUCAAUAGUGGAAGACGGUUUUGCUGUCACUUAUAGAUGGAUCCGCGCCGCAUUAGCUAGUUGGUAAGGUAACGGCUUACCAAGGCAACGAUGCGUAGCCGACCUGAGAGGGUGAUCGGCCACACUGGAACUGAGACACGGUCCAGACUCCUACGGGAGGCAGCAGUAGGGAAUCUGCCGCAAUGGGCGAAAGCCUGACGGAGCAACGCCGCGUGAGUGAUGAAGGUCUUCGGAUCGUAAAACUCUGUUAUUAGGGAAGAACAAAUGUGUAAGUAACUAUGCACGUCUUGACGGUACCUAAUCAGAAAGCCACGGCUAACUACGUG
rnacentral:rRNA from 1 species